AAAUAUACUUUCUUUAUUUUAUAGAAAUAAAUUGAUUUUUGAGUUAAAAAGCUCAAAUAAAUAUAGUAGACGAGAAGACCCUAUAGAACUUUAUAUAUAUUCAUAAAUAUAUAUAUUUGGAAAUAUAUAUAUAUAUAUAUCUAUAUAUUUUGUUGGGGUGACAGGAAAAAUUUAUUAACUUUUUUAAGUUAUAUCAUUUAUAUAUGAUUAUUUGAUCCUAUUAUUAUAGAUUAAUAGAUUAAGUUACCUUAGGGAUAACAGCGUUAUUAUUUUAGAGAGUUCAUAUCGAUGAAAUAGUUUGCGACCUCGAUGUUGGAUUAUAAUUAAUAAUAGAUGUAGCAGUU
rnacentral:rRNA from 1 species